UCAAUACACUAUACAACAGGAUAACAAAUAGCAACUACUAAGACUAUAAAACACUUCCGAACACAAUUAAAAUGAAAUUUUACAUUAUUUUCUUGGUAAUGACCAUAUUUAUGGUUUUCAACUUACAUCUAAAUAAGGCUGAGCAAUUAGAUCCAAAUAAUGACUAUACAUUUAAGGACACUAAUAACGGUCAAUUGUUGGUGGUGCCACGAAAAAUAGAUAAUUAUAAUGGGACUAAAAAGGCGAUAGCUAAAAGUUAUAAUAAUAAAACUGCUACAAUUAAGUAAAGUGCCAAUAAGGAAAUUGCCAAAAUUCUGUAAUAAACGACUCAAAGGAUUUUAAGCAAUUAAACGAUAUUAAUUUAAACAGUACUGAUGGAAAUGUUAACGUCAAUAUGACUAACAAGGAGUUUAGUUUGUGGAAAAAAUUUAAGAAAUUCUUGGCUGAUAUGGUUAAUUGAAAUUUGCAAAUAAAAAAUUUAAAAUAUAUUUAUAACUUUUACAAUUUUAAAUAAAACACUUAAAAUAGA